rnacentral:rRNA from 1 species
AUUGAUCAGGUCAGAUUGAACGCUGGCGGGAUGCUUUACACAUGCAAGUCGAACGGCAGCAUGACUUCUGUCUCGGGAAGAGUGGCGAACGGCGAGUAAUGUAUCGGAACGUGCCUAGUAGCGGGGAUAUCACAUGUUGAAAGCGUAGCUAUUACCGCAGCUACCUUCGGGAAAGCGGGGACCUUCGGGCCGCACUAUUAGAGCGGCCGAUAUCGGAUUAGCUAGUUGGUGGGGUAACGGCUCACCAAGGCGACGAUCCGUAGCUGGUUUGAGAGGACGACCAGCCACACUGACUGAGACAGCGGGCCCAGACUCCUACGGGAGGCAGCAGGGGGAAUUUUGGACAAUGGGGGAAACCUUGAUCCAGCCAUCCUCAUGCGUGUGCGAGAAGGCCUUCUUAAGAAGCACUUUUACAGAAAGAACGGCACGGGAUACUACCUGCAAUCGACGGUACCUGCAGAAUAAGCACCGGCUAACUACGUGCCAGCAGCCGCGGUAAUACGUAGGGUGCAAGCGUUAAUUGGAAUUACUGGGGCGCAAAGCGUGCGGUAUGUUCUUAAAAGAAAGAUGAAAUCCCAGAGCUUAACUUUGGAACUGCAUUUUUAACUACCGAGCUAGAGCGUGUCAGAGGGAGGUGGAAUUCCGCGUGUAGCAGUGAAAUGCAGGUAUAUAUGCGUGAGGACACCGUGACGGCGAAGGCAGCUCUCUGGGAUAACACUGACGCUCAUGCACGAAAGCGUAGAUAAAACAGAUGAGAUAAUCGGUAGUCCACGCCUCAAACGAUGUCAACUAGCUGUUGGGGCCUUCGGGCCUGUAGCGCAGCGACCGCGUGAAGUUGACCGCCUGGGGAGUACGGUCGCAAGAUUAAACUGUAGUGAAUUGAUUGGGACCGCACAAGCGGUGGAUGAUGAUUUAAUUCGAUGCACCCGAAAAAACCCUUACCUACCCUUGACAUGUCUGGAAUCCUGAAGAGAUUUUGGGAGAUGUCGCAAGAGAACCGGAACACAGGUGCUGCAUGGCUGUCGUCAGCUCGUGUCGUGAGAUGUUGCUGUCCUGCAACGAGCAAACUCGUCAAUAGUUGCUACGAAAGGGCACUUAAUGAGACUGCCGGUGACAAACUUGAGGAAGGUGGGGAUGACGUCAAGUCCUCAUGGCCCUUAUGGGUAGGGCUGACGUCAUACAAUGGUCGGGACAGAGGGUCGCCAACCCGCGAGGGGGAGCUGGAAUCCCCCAGAAACCCGAUCGUAGUCCGGAUCGCAGUCUGCAACUCGACGGUGUGAAGUCGGAACGCGAGCAAUCGCGGAUCAGCAGCCAGGUGAAUACGUUCCCGGGUCUUGUACACACCGCCCGUCACACCAUGGGAGUGGGUUUUACCAGAAGUAGUUAGCCUUAACCGUAAGGAGUGGCGAUUACUACGGUAGGAUUCAUGACUGGGGUGAAGUCGUAACAAGGUAG